UAGCAAUACUCAGUGGCGAACGGCGGAGUAAUACAUAAGCAACGUGCCCUGAAGACUGGGAUAGCGGUUCGAAAGGACCAGUAAUACCGGAUGUGGCCCUCACGAGACAUCUCGAGAGGAUUAAAUGGUUUUUCGCUUCAGGAGCGGCUUAUGACCUAUCAGCUUGUUGGCGAGGUAACGGCUCACCAAGGCGACGACGGGUAGGGGGUCUGAGAGGAUGAUCCCCCCGAGUGGGACUGAGACACGGCCCACACACCUACGGGUGGCAGCAGUUGGGAAUCUUGCACAAUGGGGGAAACCCUGAUGCAGCGACGCCGCGUGGAGGAUGACGGAUCUAGGU
rnacentral:rRNA from 1 species